GAUGAACGCUAGCUACAGGCUUAACACAUGCAAGUCGAGGGGCAGCAUGAAGUUUGCUUGCAAACUUUGAUGGCGACCGGCGGAUGGGUGAGUAACGCGUAUCCAACCUGCCCCCUUCCCGGGCACAGCCCUUGGAAACGAGGAUUAACUCCCGAUGGCGUCGCCUUAACGCAUGUUUCGGCGACCAAAUGUUUAAGGAAGGGGAUGGGGAUGCGUCCCAUUAGCUUGUUGGCGGGGUAACGGCCCACCAAGGCUCCGAUGGGUAGGGGUUCUGAGAGGAAGGUCCCCCACACUGGAACUGAGACACGGUCCAGACUCCUACGGGAGGCAGCAGUGAGGAAUAUUGGUCAAUGGAGGCAACUCUGAACCAGCCAAGUAGCGUGAGGGACGACUGCCCUACGGGUUGUAAACCUCUUUUGUCGGGGAAUAAACCGCGCCACGUGUGGCGCUCUGCAUGUACCCGCAGAAUAAGGACCGGCUAAUUCCGUGCCAGCAGCCGCAGUAACAC
rnacentral:rRNA from 1 species